rnacentral:rRNA from 1 species
CGGGACGGGUGAGUAAUGUCUGGGAAACUGCCUGAUGGAGGGGGGAUAACUACUGGAAACGGUAGCUAAUACCGCAUAACGUCGCAAGACCAAAGAGGGGGACCUUCGGGCCUCUUGCCAUCAGAUGUGCCCAGAUGGGAUUAGCUAGUAGGUGGGGUAACGGCUCACCUAGGCGACGAUCCCUAGCUGGUCUGAGAGGAUGACCAGCCACACUGGAACUGAGACACGGUCCAGACUCCUACGGGAGGCAGCAUG